GAGCGUGAUCUGGCCAUAUGACAUCUGUCACACCAUCGAUCACCAGUUUUGAUUCAUCUGAUCUGACUAGGUAGGUCUGUGUCCCUUUCUUCCCUUCCUGUUUUUUGUGCAUCCCUCCCAAAACUGUGUGCUUGGUGGAAGAGGACAUCUAUCCUAGGUAGCCACUGGAGGGGAUAAAAAAGUGAAAGGAGGUUGAACAGGAGCUUCAACCUGACUGACAAGUCCAAUCAUGGGUUGCUGCUUUGCUGA
rnacentral:sRNA from 1 species